rnacentral:rRNA from 1 species
GUAGGUGGCAAGCGUUGUCCGGAAUUAUUGGGCGUAAAGCGCGCGCAGGCGGCUCUUUAAGUCUGAUGUGAAAGCCCACGGGUUCAACCGUGGAGGGUCAUUGGAAACUGGAGAACUUGAGUACAGAAGAGGAAAGCGGAAUUCCACGUGUAGCGGUGAAAUGCGUAGAGAUGUGGAGGAACACCAGUGGCGAAGGCGGCUUUCUGGUCUGUAACUGACGCUGAGGCGCGAAAGCGUGGGGAGCAAACAGGAUUAGAUACCCUGGUAGUCCACGCCGUAAACGAUGAGUGCUAAGUGUUAGGGGGUUUCCGCCCCUUAGUGCUGCAGCUAACGCAUUAAGCACUCCGCCUGGGGAGUACGGCCGCAAGGCUG